AUUGAACGCUGGCGGCAGGCCUAACACAUGCAAGUCGAGCGGAUGAGAGGAGCUUGCUCCUUGAUUCAGCGGCGGACGGGUGAGUAAUGCCUAGGAAUCUGCCUAGUAGUGGGGGACAACGUUUCGAAAGGAACGCUAAUACCGCAUACGUCCUACGGGAGAAAGUGGGGGAUCUUCGGACCUCACGCUAUUAGAUGAGCCUAGGUCGGAUUAGCUAGUUGGUAGGGUAAAGGCCUACCAAGGCGACGAUCCGUAACUGGUCUGAGAGGAUGAUCAGUCACACUGGAACUGAGACACGGUCCAGGCUCCUACGGGAGGCAGCAGUGGGGAAUAUUGGACAAUGGGCGAAAGCCUGAUCCAGCCAUGCCGCGUGUGUGAAGAAGGCCUUCGGGUCGUAAAGCACUUUAAGUUGGGAGGAAGAGCUCAUAGCGAAUACCUGUGAGUUUUGACGUUACCAACAGAAUAAGCACCGGCUAACUUCGUGCCAGCCGCCGCAGUAA
rnacentral:rRNA from 1 species